GACCAAGGAGUCUAACACGUGCGCGAGUCGCAGGGUCGUACGAAACCCGAGGGCGUAACGAAAGUGAACGAGAUCUUCGGAUCUAUCGGGUGGGAUCUCGAAGCCUUUUCAACGAGGCGACGGGCGCACCACCGGCCUGUCUCGGCCGCAGCGUCGGCGAGGCGGAGCAAGAGCGUACGCGUUGGGACCCGAAAGAUGGUGAACUAUGCCUGAGCAGGACGAAGCCAGAAGAAAUUCUGGUGGAGGUCCGCAGCGAUUCUGACGUGCAAAUCGAUCGUCAAACUUGGGUAUAGGGGCGAAAGACUAAUCGAACCAUCUAGUAGCUGGUUCCUGUCGAAGUUUCCCUCAGGAUAGCUGGCGCUCAUCGAAGCAGUUUUAUCCGGUAAAGCGAAUGAUUAGAGGCCUUGGGGACGUACAGACCUCAACCUAUUCUCAAACUUUAAAUGGGUAAGACGUCCGUCUCGCUCGAUUGGAGUCGGACACGCGAAUGCGAGUGCCAAGUGGGCCAUUUUU
rnacentral:rRNA from 1 species